ACACUCCUACGGGAGGCAGCAGUGGGGAAUUUUGGACAAUGGGCGAAAGCCUGAUCCAGCAAUGCCGCGUGAGUGAAGAAGGCCUUCGGGUUGUAAAGCUCUUUUGUCAGGGAAGAAACGGUGAAAGCUAAUAUCUUUUGCUAAUGACGGUACCUGAAGAAUAAGCACCGGCUAACUACGUGCCAGCAGCCGCGGUAAUACGUAGGGUGCAAGCGUUAAUCGGAAUUACUGGGCGUAAAGCGUGCGCAGGCGGUUUUGUAAGUCUGAUGUGAAAUCCCCGGGCUCAACCUGGGAAUUGCAUUGGAGACUGCAAGGCUAGAAUCUGGCAGAGGGGGGUAGAAUUCCACGUGUAGCAGUGAAAUGCGUAGAUAUGUGGAGGAACACCGAUGGCGAAGGCAGCCCCCUGGGUCAAGAUUGACGCUCAUGCACGAAAGCGUGGGGAGCAAACAGGAUUAGAUACCCUAGUAGUCC
rnacentral:rRNA from 1 species